rnacentral:lncRNA from 1 species
GCCUCCCAAAGUGCUGGGAUUACAGGUGUGAACCACUGAGCCUGGCCUCCUUAUUCUUAAUGACCACUUGGAAGCCAAUGACAGAAUCUGCCACCACAACUUCCAGCCUCCAGGGGACAGACACCCACUCUCAAGGAUUUCUUCCCAGGGACAUGACCCUAUGCCAGCCCACACCACAGUCUUGGUCAUCACUCCUGUUUCCAUGGUGUUAACAGCAGC